rnacentral:rRNA from 1 species
GUGUCAGCAGCCGCGGUAAUACGGAGGGGGUUAGCGUUGUUCGGAAUUACUGGGCGUAAAGCGCACGUAGGCGGAUUAGAAAGUUAGAGGUGAAAUCCCAGGGCUCAACCCUGGAACUGCCUUUAAAACUCCUAGUCUUGAGUUCGAGAGAGGUGAGUGGAAUUCCAAGUGUAGAGGUGAAAUUCGUAGAUAUUUGGAGGAACACCAGUGGCGAAGGCGGCUCACUGGCUCGAUACUGACGCUGAGGUGCGAAAGUGUGGGGAGCAAACAGGAUUAGAUACCCUGGUAGUCCACACCGUAAACGAUGAAUGCCAGUCGUCGGGUAGUAUACUAUUCGGUGACACACCUAACGGAUUAAGCAUUCCGCCUGGGGAGUACGGUCGCAAGAUUAAAACUUAAAUGAAUUGACGGGG